GUGCGAGACCGAUAGCGAACAAGUACCGCGAGGAAAAGAUGAAAAGAACUUUGAAAAGAGAGUUAAAGAGUACCUGAAACUGCUGAAAGGGAAGCGAAUCGUAUCCAGUGUCUAUAAUCUGCGGCAUAUUUCAUUGGCGGCGGUGCGCGUGCUUUUGCGUCGGAAGCGGCUUUUGUUGCUCUGUGCUUUUGCUGUGCGUGGUGUUGCUGGUGCCCUGUGUUGCGGUGGGACGUCAGAGUCAGUUUGUAUGCUGCGGGAAAUGGCCGCCGAGGAGGUAGGUCAGGACUUCGGUCUUGGCUGUUAUAUCUUGGUGGUUUGUUGUCGUGGUUGGGACUGAGGUGCCUACAAUGUGCUUUUGAGUGUGCCGGGUUCUCAUUUGGUGGACUGUUUGGAUAGCUUGCUAUGCUUGUGGUUUUUUCAUCGAGUGAUUGAGUCUGGUGGUAACUUGUUGCUGUUCGGGACUUUG
rnacentral:rRNA from 2 species